UUAAGUUAAUAAGGGCGCACGGUGGAUGCCUUGGCACUAGGAGCCGACGAAGGACGUGACAAACGACGAUAUGCCUUGGGUAGCUGUAAGUAAGCGAUGAUCCAGGGAUUUCCGAAUGGGGGAACCCAACAGGUAAUACCUGUUACCCACAUCUGUUAAGGAUGUGAGGAGGAAGACGCAGUGAACUGAAACAUCUAAGUAGCUGCAGGAAGAGAAAGCAAAAGCGAUUGCCUUAGUAGCGGCGAGCGAAACGGCAGAAGGGCAAACCGAAGAGUUUACUCUUCGGGGUUGUAGGACUGCAAUGUGGACUCAAAGAUUAUAGAAGAAUGAUUUGGGAAGAUCAGCCAAAGAGAGUAAUAGCCUCGUAUUUAAAAUAGUCUUUGUACCUAGCAGUAUCCUGAGUACGGCGGGACACGUGAAAUCCCGUCGGAAUCUGGGAGGACCAUCUCCCAACCCUAAAUACUCCCUAGUGACCGAUAGUGAACCAGUACCGUGAGGGAAAGGUGAAAAGCACCCCGGGAGGGGAGUGAAAUAGAACCUGAAACCGUGUGCCUACAACAAGUUCGAGCCCGUUAAUGGGUGAGAGCGUGCCUUUUGUAGAAUGAACCGGCGAGUUACGUUAUGAUGCGAGGUUAAGUUGAAGAGACGGAGCCGUAGGGAAACCGAGUCUGAAUAGGGCGCCUUAGUAUCAUGACGUAGACCCGAAACCAUGUGACCUACCCAUGAGCAGGUUGAAGGUGCGGUAAGACGCACUGGAGGACCGAACCAGGGCACGUUGAAAAGUGCUUGGAUGACUUGUGGGUAGCGGAGAAAUUCCAAACGAACUUGGAGAUAGCUGGUUCUCUCCGAAAUAGCUUUAGGGCUAGCGUCGACAUUAGAGAUUCUUGGAGGUAGAGCACUGUUUGGGUGAGGGGUCCAUCCCGGAUUACCAAUCUCAGAUAAACUCCGAAUGCCAAUGAAUUAUGGUCGGCAGUCAGACUGCGAGUGCUAAGAUCCGUAGUCGAAAGGGAAACAGCCCAGACCACCAGCUAAGGUCCCAAAAUAAUUGUUAAGUGGAAAAGGAUGUGGGGUUGCACAGACAACUAGGAUGUUAGCUUAGAAGCAGCUAUUCAUUCAAAGAGUGCGUAAUAGCUCACUAGUCGAGUGACCCUGCGCCGAAAAUGUACCGGGGCUAAAACAAUUUACCGAAGCUGUGGAUACCUUUAUAGGUAUGGUAGGAGAGCGUUCUAUGUGUGAUGAAGGUAUACCGUGAGGAGUGCUGGAACGCAUAGAAGUGAGAAUGCCGGUAUGAGUAGCGAAAGACAGGUGAGAAUCCUGUCCACCGUAAGACUAAGGUUUCCAGGGGAAGGCUCGUCCGCCCUGGGUUAGUCGGGACCUAAGGAGAGACCGAAAGGUGUAUCCGAUGGACAACAGGUUGAUAUUCCUGUACUAGAGUAUGUAGUGAUGGAGGGACGCAGUAGGCUAACUAAAGCAGACGAUUGGAAGAGUCUGUCUAAGCAGUGAGGUGUGAAUUGAGUCAAAUGCUUAAUUCUAUAACAUUGAGCUGUGAUGGGGAGCGAAGUUUAGUAGCGAAGUUAGUGACGUCACACUGCCAAGAAAAGCUUCUAGCGUUUAAACAUACUCUACCCGUACCGCAAACCGACACAGGUAGUCGAGGCGAGUAGCCUCAGGUGAGCGAGAGAACUCUCGUUAAGGAACUCGGCAAAAUGACCCCGUAACUUCGGGAAAAGGGGUGCUGACUUUAAGUCAGCCGCAGUGAAUAGGCCCAAGCAACUGUUUAUCAAAAACACAGCUCUCUGCUAAAUCGUAAGAUGAUGUAUAGGGGGUGACGCCUGCCCGGUGCUGGAAGGUUAAGAGGAGUGCUUAGCGUAAGCGAAGGUAUGAAUUGAAGCCCCAGUAAACGGCGGCCGUAACUAUAACGGUCCUAAGGUAGCGAAAUUCCUUGUCGGGUAAGUUCCGACCCGCACGAAAGGCGUAAUGAUUUGGGCACUGUCUCAACGAGAGACUCGGUGAAAUUUUAGUACCUGUGAAGAUGCAGGUUACCCGCGACAGGACGGAAAGACCCCAUGGAGCUUUACUGCAGUUUGAUAUUGAGUGUCUGUACCACAUGUACAGGAUAGGUAGGAGUCUAAGAGAUCGGGACGCCAGUUUCGAAGGAGACGCUGUUGGGAUACUACCCUUGUGUUAUGGCCACUCUAACCCAGAUAGGUGAUCCCUAUCGGAGACAGUGUCUGACGGGCAGUUUGACUGGGGCGGUCGCCUCCUAAAAGGGAACGGAGGCGCCC
rnacentral:rRNA from 1 species